GACGAACGCUGGCGGCGUGCUUAACACAUGCAAGUCGAGCGGUAAGGCUCCUUCGGGAGUACACGAGCGGCGAACGGGUGAGUAACACGUGAGCAAUCUGCCCUUCACACGGGGAUAACCCUCGGAAACGAGAGCUAAUACCCGAUACGACCACUUCAGGCAUCUGAUGGUGGUGGAAAGUUCCGGCGGUGAAGGAUGAGCUCGCGGCCUAUCAGCUUGUUGGUGGGGUAACGGCCCACCAAGGCAACGACGGGUAGCCGGCCUGAGAGGGUGACCGGCCACACUGGGACUGAGACACGGCCCAGACUCCUACGGGAGGCAGCAGUGGGGAAUAUUGGACAAUGGGCGAAAGCCUGAUCCAGCAACGCCGCGUGAGGGAUGACGGCCUUCGGGUUGUAAACCUCUUUCAGCAGGGACGAAGCGCAAGUGACGGUACCUGCAGAAGAAGCACCGGCCAACUACGUGCCAGCAGCCGCCGCGG
rnacentral:rRNA from 1 species